rnacentral:rRNA from 1 species
AGUGAACGCUGGCGGUAGGCCUAACACAUGCAAGUCGAACGGCAGCACAGAGGAGCUUGCUCCUUGGGUGGCGAGUGGCGGACGGGCGAGGAAUACAUCGGAAUCUACUCUGUCGUGGGGGAUAACGUAGGGAAACUUACGCUAAUACCGCAUAUGACCUACGGGUGAAAGCAGGGGAUCUUCUGACCUUGCGCGAUUGAAUGAGCCGAUGUCGGAUUAGCUAGUUGGCGGGGUAAAGGCCCACCAAGGCGACGAUCCGUAGCUGGUCUGAGAGGAUGAUCAGCCACACUGGAACUGAGACACGGUCCAGACUCCUACGGGAGGCAGCAGUGGGGAAUAUUGGACAAUGGGCGCAAGCCUGAUCCAGCCAUACCGCGUGGGUGAAGAAGGCCUUCGGGUUGUAAAGCCCUUUUGUUGGGAAAGAAAUCCAUCUGGUUAAUACCCGGGUGGGAUGACGGUACCCAAAGAAUAAGCACCGGCUAACUUCGUGCCAGCAGCCGCCGUAA